AAUAGUCAACGGUGGGUGGAACUAACGGACACGCGAACGUGAAAUGCUGAUGCCACCGGCGACACGAAAACUACUGAGAAAUUGAGAAAAGUGUGGAGUGACUUUAAACAGCAAGAAGAAGGCAACUCGCAUACAAAGAGCUGCCAAGGGAACACUGGACUGGUGGCGGUCCAGGUUCUUCCCUGAAGCCAAAGGAUUUAGAGCAGAGUGCUUGUAAAUAACUACUUGUAAAUUAAAUC